rnacentral:rRNA from 1 species
UACGUAGGGGGCAAGCGUUGUCCGGAAUCAUUGGGCGUAAAGAGCGCGUAGGCGGCCCGAUAAGUCCGCUGUAAAAGUCCAGGGCUCAACCCUGGAAAGCCGGUGGAUACUGUCGGGCUAGAGUCCGGAAGAGGCGAGUGGAAUUCCUGGUGUAGCGGUGGAAUGCGCAGAUAUCAGGAGGAACACCAAUGGCGAAGGCAGCUCGCUGGGACGGUACUGACGCUGAGGCGUGAAAGCGUGGGGAGCGAACAGG